AUGCCAGAGAUGACCCAGCCCAGCGAUGUGCUAACACCUCCUUCCACUGCCAGCGCUUCCAUGGAUGGCAAUGUAGUGGCCAUCAUCAUAGCUGCAACAGUUGCUUCAUCUGUAUUUGUAGUGGCGAUAUUGGUGCUGCUACUGCUCUUGUACUACCGGGACCCUCUGUGCUGCCAGUUCCUCUGCUCCUGCCGUUUCUUUCAGAGUCCCAGCCAAUAUGAUUGUCCUCCUCCAUACUUCAGCAGUAACCAGAGGCUGGUGGGACCCCAAUCGGGAGCACAGCAAUUGGAGAGCCCUGCCGAGAAUCCUGGGGUGCAGGGAGAUGAACUAUUCUGCGUUGGACCCCCCAGCAGCUAUCAGCUCCCUCCCUGGGAGCACCUCCGCUUGCCAAGCUACGAGAGCGUGCGGAAGAAGGAUCGGCAGCGGGAGAUCCAUCAGCUGAUUGCCGAGAGGUUUGGACUGUGGGUAGACCCCUCCCAGGAGGUGAGUGGAAAGCUGCAGAAGCACAGCAAUGGUCCUAUCCUGUUUGCCUAUAGGCCAUCCCACAGCACUCUGCAGUGCACUAGCAGAGGACUCUGUUCUGUCUCUGCAGUUGCCUUUCUCUGAUAGCAUGUCUCUCUGGGAAAGCACUCCCGGGUUCCAGGAAAUUCCCUCUGGUUACAUUUCUGCAGGUUAAUGAUUGAUCCCUCCCCAUUGCAUCUGCAGAGCGCUAGGAGACGGGACAGGGCUGCCGGGCUGAACCAUCUGUUUGAAGACU
rnacentral:lncRNA from 1 species